rnacentral:piRNA from 1 species
AGCCUGUGAGAUUUUCUUGAGCCAAUGGCGUU